UACGAAGGGGGCUAGCGUUGUUCGGAAUCACUGGGCGUAAAGGGCGCGUAGGCGGGUUUUUAAGUCAGAGGUGAAAUCCUGGAGCUCAACUCCAGAACUGCCUUUGAUACUGAAAGUCUUGAGUAUGGGAGAGGUGAGUGGAACUGCGAGUGUAGAGGUGAAAUUCGUAGAUAUUCGCAAGAACACCAGUGGCGAAGGCGGCUCACUGGCCCAUUACUGACGCUGAGGCACGAAAGCGUGGGGAGCAAACAGG
rnacentral:rRNA from 1 species